UACGGAGGAUGCGAGCGUUAUCCGGAUUUAUUGGGUUUAAAGGGUGCGUAGGCGGAUUAAUAAGUCAGUGGUGAAAGACUGCAGCUUAACUGUAGAACUGCCAUUGAUACUGUUAGUCUUGAGUACGGUCAAGGUAGGCGGAAUGUGUAAUGUAGCGGUGAAAUGCUUAGAUAUUACACAGAACACCAAUUGCGAAGGCAGCUUACUGGGCCGUAACUGACGCUGAUGCACGAAAGCGUGGGGAG
rnacentral:rRNA from 1 species